GCGUGAAGAUCAUGUGCAGAAUAAUUUAAGAAAUUAAAUAAAUUGUAUUUUUUUUAUUUUAAUUGCAAACAAUUUGUUUCUAUUUUUCAAGUUAUUUUUGGACUCAAUGUCCUUAGGCUUUCUUUUAGGAUUUCUUAGGUGCCUUAAACAUUUGUACCUAUAUAUAGGGGCACCAAAUACAUAUGUAGACACUUUUGAGUCGUAAUAUAUACAUUUGCAUUUUUUAGAGAGGAUUCUCUUGGUUCUUGGUUUAGAACUCUGAUUCUUAUCAAAGAUUAACAUCUUUGUGGCGAAUCUUCCUUGACUUAUCAAUCUUCUAGAUUGUGACAAAUCUUCCUUGACUUAUCAAUUUGCUAGAUUGUGACAUCCCCAUCUGAUAGGAGAUUGUCUUGGCAGUUAGGAAAAGUGGGAAAGGGGUUGUAUAAAAGGGGAUUGGGUUUAAUUGUUAGAGUUAGUUUUGGAGUCUUAUUGAUUGUGCGGGAACUCUUGGAGUUCUUUGGGGAGAGGUUAAGCUCUCUAUACUUGUAUUCUUGAUUGCUCAGUAAUACAAAGAGGUUAUACAACACUCUUGGGUGUGUGUUUUGUGUGGGUGAAGUGUGUUUUCCAUAGGCUCCCGAUUAGGAACCUAUCAUUUGGUCCGACCUGCCGGAUCCAAAAGGAGUGGGAAAUCAGCGAUGGACGGACAGUCGGAGAGAAUAGACAAUCUUGAGAUCACCGUGGAGGGUAUUAAGGAGGAGACGGCGGCAAUAAGACGCGACUUACAUCAAAUGAUGAAGAUGAUGGGCAGAGGUCAGAAUAAUCAUGAUGGAGGCUCCGAAGGGGGAAGUAGCUCCGUGAACGAUAACAAUGAGAGGCGCGAUAAUGGGGGGAUACAAUAGAAUUGGCGGAAGAGAGUAGACUUACCGGGACAUACAGAAGGUGCCAGAGGAGGAUAAGGUGGAGCUUGCUUAUAUUAGCAUGGAGGGGAGUGCAACCUAUUGGUUCAAAAUCUGGAAAGAUAAAGCCAAGAACAGUUCUUGGUCGGGUUUGAAAGCAGCGCUGAUAAAUCGUUUCGGAGGAGGAUGUCGUGGGAUGGUGUACGAACAGUUAGCGACGCUGCGACAAGAAGGAUCAGUGGAGGAAUUCACCAGAAGCUACGAGAGGUUACGGGGACAGACACAAGGGUUGUCGGAGGAACUUUCAUUAGGCUUUUUCUUGGCAGGAUUACGGGAUGACAUUAAGGGUCAAGUACGUAUUCAAGAUCCCAAAGAAUUGGAGGGUGCGAUAAGAAUCGCACGUGACGUGGAGGACGCGAUAUCGAGAACGAGAGAAGGAGGUUGGAACGGCGUAAAGCUAAACGCCGUGGAUCCGCAAGCCUCGACCACAGUCGUUUGAGGAGAGGUUGAUCGACAGCCGCUAAACCGUUCCGGAGGAAUGGAGGGAAGUGGGUCGAACCUAAGGGAAGGACUGGUGACGACGAAUAGUGUGAGAGGUGGUCUCAUCGAAGGAGGCGACAAUCGGGGAAGAAUGGUAAGGAAUUUACCUUACCCAAAAUUUCUGAAAAGACGGGAAGAAGACCUCUGUUUUCGGUGCAGGGGUCCGUUUGCACCAGGCCAUCGAUGUUCGGAGAAGAGUUUACGCGUUCUGCUUUUGGCGAAGGAUGAGGAGGAUGACGCAGGUGAUGGGGUUGAACCGGAGCUAAGAUCUAUGGAAUUGUCUGCUUGCUCAGAGGGGGGGUUGCCUCAGCCCAGAACUAUGAAGUUGACUGGAAUGAUAGGAGACCGGAGGGUGCUGGUCUUGGUCGACAGCGGGGCCAGUCACAACUUUAUCAGACAGAGUUUAGCGGAGGAACUGAAGCUGCCCAUAGAAGAUACGCCCCCUUAUCAGGUGAGUUUGGGGGAUGGGCAGAGAAAGUUGACAAGAGGAUGCUGUAAGAAGGUCACAAUCGUUUUGGCAGAGGCGGAGGUCGAGGAAAGACUCCAUUUAGUCGAGCUGGUCGGAGUGGAUGUUAUCUUGGGGGUCGAAUGGUUGGCGAAACUUGGAGAAGUUAGGAUUAACUGGGACGGAAUGAUGAUGUUAUAUAACGUGGGGGAUAAGAUGGUAAACAUAAGGGGUGAACCAGCUUUGUCGCGGCAGCUGGUGGAACAAAAAACUAUAUUGAAGCUAGUGGAUGCUGAUUCAGGGACUUUGGUGUGGGACCCAGGCCUGGUGGAGACAGAGGAGAACGGUGAGUGGGAUGGCGAUUUGAUGGAGGCGCAGAAAGCUGAAUUAGAGAGCAGUGUUGCAGCCGCACUAACGGGUAUUUCGAGAGAUACCCGGAUUGCCUCCGCCACCUAAUAAAUAACACCGAAUCCCACUCAAGGAAGGGUGGAUCAUAUAAGUGUGCCACCAUACUGGUAUCCUCAUCUUUUGAAGGGAGAGAUUGAAAGGCAAGCAGCGGACAUGGGAAGAUAGGGAGCUCAACCUUGAGGACAAGGUUGUUGAAGGAGAGGGAGUAUUGAUAGGAGAUUGUCUNGGCAGUUAGGAAAAGUGGGAAAGGGGUUGUAUAAAAGGGGAUUGGGUUUAAUUGUUAGAGUUAGUUUUGGAGUCUUAUUGAUUGUGCNGGAACUCUUGGANUUCUUUGGGNAGAGGUUAAGCUCUCUAUACUUGUAUUCUUGAUUGUUCAGUAAUACAAAGAGGUUAUACAGCACUCUUGGGUGUGUUUUUUGUGUGGGUGAAAUGUGUUUUCCAUAGGUUCCCGAUUAGGAACCUAUCACCAUCACUGUAUUAUUUCACGUUCUUCUCUGAUUUAUUUUUAUUGUGCCCCUUGAGGAUUCAAAUUUAAAAAAGAUCGUACUCUUUCCUGAACAGGAUCGUAUCAAGCUAGUUGUUUGAUCUAAUGGGUUUGACAACUAAGAUUAAACACAGUGCUAUAAAGAUUGUAAAGAGAGCAUCUACAACUACUAAGGGGAUGGAAAGAAUGGUCUUUACACACUAGAUGGUUUACCAGUGAUAGCAUAUGCAUCUGUGCCUAGUCAAAUGAUGCAAGACCAAGUUGUGGCUUUGAGGUUGGGGCACAUAAGUGAAAAAGGUUUGGUGGAGCUGGGAAAACAAAACCUAUUGGGAGGCAAUAUAAUGGAUAAGCUGGAGUUUUGUGUACUUCGAAAGUCUCAUAUAUUGAAGUUUGGGGUUGGUAACCAUGUGUCCAAUAGACCGUUUUAACCUAUUGGAGUCUAAGAUGAACUCAAACUCGUGUUGAAAAGUCU
rnacentral:lncRNA from 1 species